AAUAGAUACCCAGGUAGUCCACGCCGUAAACGAUGAGUGCUAAGUGUUAGAGGGUUUCCGCCCUUUAGUGCUGCAGCAAACGCAUUAAGCACUCCGCCUGGGGAGUACGGUCGCAAGACUGAAACUCAAAGGAAUUGACGGGGGCCCGCACAAGCGGUGGAGCAUGUGGUUUAAUUCGAAGCAACGCGAAGAACCUUACCAGGUCUUGACAUCCUCUGACAACCCUAGAGAUAGGGCUUCCCCUUCGGGGGCAGAGUGACAGGUGGUGCAUGGUUGUCGUCAGCUCGUGUCGUGAGAUGUUGGGUUAAGUCCCGCAACGAGCGCAACCCUUGAUCUUAGUUGCCAGCAUUCAGUUGGGCACUCUAAGGUGACUGCCGGUGACAAACCGGAGGAAGGUGGGGAUGACGUCAAAUCAUCAUGCCCCUUAUGACCUGGGCUACACACGUGCUACAAUGGGCAGAACAAAGGGCAGCGAAGCCGCGAGGCUAAGCCAAUCCCACAAAUCUGUUCUCAGUUCGGAUCG
rnacentral:rRNA from 1 species